CCGCGGUAAUACGUAGGGUCCGAGCGUUGUCCGGAAUUACUGGGCGUAAAGCGUGCGCAGGCGGUUCGGAAAGAAAGAUGUGAAAUCCCAGGGCUUAACCUUGGAACUGCAUUUUUAACUACCGGGCUAGAGUACGUCAGAGGGGGGUAGAAUUCCACGUGUAGCAGUGAAAUGCGUAGAGAUGUGGAGGAAUACCGAUGGCGAAGGCAGCCCCCUGGGAUGAUACUGACGCUCAUGCACGAAAGCGUGGGGAGCAAACAGG
rnacentral:rRNA from 1 species